UUAGUAACUAAUGGUAGUUCGAUGCUUUAAAACUUGGAUAUUCUCUUACUGGCCGACAGACUAGUGUUAUUCAUUCUUUCUCCUCCAUUCACUAACUCUCUGCACAUUUCUUUGAGAAGCAGAAUAUCAAAAACUCCAUCUUUGUUAUGUUUUUGUGUAUUUAUAUAUAUAGGGAUUUUACUUAUAUGACCCUACACAAUUCUCAAACACAUUAAACACACUAAGGUCAAAACUGACCUUUGCCCUUAUUUUACUGAACCUUUUGUUUUAUUAGGCUGCUUUUGUUAUGAUAACUUGACCUAAUUGACUAACGUGUGGAGAGAAGAAAAAAAAGAAAAAAAUGAGAGAAAACCCUUAUCCCUCUCUGCUCAAACCCAGAAGAUCACCAAGAUGUUCAACCACAAAAUCACAUAAAAUAAACCCAGAAAUAUCAAGCCCAAUCACAAACCAGAAACAAAUCUAUCAAGAGUAAAGAAAGAGAGAUACAAACAGAGAUUUAUAGAGGUUCACCACCAAAAUAUUUGGGGUUACGUCCUCUUGAGCUCGCCUCAGAGAUUGAGAGCUCCAAAUCCACUAAUCAAUGGAGAAAUUGUUACAACCAAGCAGUCAAGAUCACGAUUACAACAUCAUCAGGAAAACAACUCUCAAAGCUCUCAAAUUUCUCUGUGCAUAAAGACAAACAUGUUUGAUGAGCUUCUUCUCUCUUUAGAUUACAUGUAUUUAUAGGCUAAAGUAGAAUAAAAGUUUCGGUUGUGUUUUUCUUGAUCUUGAAUAGCUUCUGAUC